rnacentral:rRNA from 1 species
UGAGGAAUAUUGCACAAUGGGGGAAACCCUGAUGCAGCGACGCCGCGUGAGCGAAGAAGUAUUUCGGUAUGUAAAGCUCUAUCAGCAGGGAAGAAAAAUGACGGUACCUGACUAAGAAGCACCGGCUAAAUACGUGCCAGCAGCCGCGGUAAUACGUAUGGUGCAAGCGUUAUCCGGAUUUACUGGGUGUAAAGGGAGCGCAGGCGGUACGGCAAGUCUGAUGUGAAAGCCCGGGGCUCAACCCCGGUACUGCAUUGGAAACUGUUGGUCUUGAGUACCGGAGGGGUAAGCGGAAUUCCUAGUGUAGCGGUGAAAUGCGUAGAUAUUAGGAGGAACACCAGUGGCGAAGGCGGCUUACUGGACGGUAACUGACGUUGAGGCUCGAAAGCGUGGGGAGCAAACAGGAUUAGAUACC